UAGCUCAGCUGGGAGAGCACCUGCCUUACAAGCAGGGGGUCAGCGGUUCGAUCCCGU
rnacentral:tRNA from 1 species